AGAAAAGAUAUCUAGAUCUCGAGAAAACUAAGGGCGUGAACGUUGAUAACCUGAAUACAUGCGUAGAUUAUAGUUCCAGUGCUGGAAGGAAAUCUUGUGAGAUUAGAUAUGCAAUUAUUGAGGUUAUUGAUUAUAAAAUUAAACUAAUGUUAACUUAAUAUUUAGAGUUGAGCAGCCGAAUUUGCCUUGUGUUGACUUAUUCUGAAUGAACAGAAACUAGAUAUGUCCAUUUAUCAUCCUCAUCUAUGAAUAUUGUUUCAUUAGCCUUUGUGAUUUAUGGUUUUUCUGAUAGGAUUUGUGAAUAAUGGAAAUAUGUCCAGGAUAACCUCUUUCAUAGGAAGGAAAAUUAAUGUUUAACAAACCUCUGCUAGUGAUAGAUUGAGAUCGUCCGUGAUGGCCGACUGAGUAGGUAAUGAAUAACCUGCCUGAAAACCAACAAAUUAUGACACCUCAGAAUUGCCACCAAAAAAUUCUACUUUUCUGAGAAACUUGUUCUGAAUUUUUGCUUUGGUUUGUAAUGUCUUCAACUGUUUCUUUCAGCUUUAGUGAAACAUGAAAUGAAGUUUGAUUAAAUGAUUGGAACUUACACAGGUUCCAAAUGCAUAAGAACCACACACUGCGACAAAGGUACUAAGGUAAACCAUCCAUUCAUGCUCUGUAGAACUGCUUUUGUGGCUCACAUCUUUGGGACCAUAGCCAUCUUCUUCAUCAGCUCGAGUCUUGUCUUCUGGUAUAAGUGGCUCCCUUAUCUCUUCUUGCAAGCUGUUCUCACCUUGCUCCAAAAAUUAGAGAAUUCAAAUUUAUGGUCAAGAAUUUAGUGGAGAAUUCUAACAAAAGGUUGCAUAUCCGACAUCUCAUCAACAUGCCACUUGGUCCUUGGAUGACUUGCCAAGAAUAGUAGCUUGUACCAUGCAUCAAGGAUCUGCUGUCACCAGCAUGGAUUUUCAUCCUUCUCAUCACACAUUGCUUCUUGCUAGGAUGGUCUUUGAUCAAUGAUUUGAACAUACCACCUAUGAUUUCAAUGGUUGAGCUCCUGCUAAAUAAAUAUAUGAAUUCUUUCUUUUCUUUCCUUUAUUUGACAUAGAUUCUCUUUUAUACAGUUGGUUCUACUACUGGUGAAAUAAUGCUUUAGGAAGUGGGGAUGCAGUAUAAAUUGGUUUCAAAACCAUUCAAGAUAUGGGACAUGGCAAAUUGUUAUAUGUUGCUUCAGGAAGCUGGGUGCUUUUUUGUUGUUCUAAAAUGUGUGCUUGCACCUGUUGCUACUGCUGCUGCUGCAACAUCUGCUCUUCGAAUCCCUACCAUUGGUAUUGGGGCAAAGACUUUUUGUAAUGGCAAAGUUAAUUGAUUCUUUAGCUCUCUCUAACACUCCUAAUAAUGAAUUAGACUUGACUGCUUAUAUUGUAUAUAAUCUUUUUGCUUUCAUUUGUACAUAUACUUUGCUAUUUGAUCUUGUAAUUUGCUUUUCAAGUACUAAAAUGGGCAUUUUAAUGAUAUCGUGUGUUCAUAUAUUGAGUUUACUCAUAUAAUAAACUUUGAAUUUGCUCUCUCUCUCU